rnacentral:rRNA from 1 species
UACGGAGGGUGCGAGCGUUGUCCGGAAUCAUUGGGCGUAAAGCGCGUGUAGGCGGUUCGGUAAGUCUGCUGUGAAAGUCCAGGGCUCAACCCUGGGAUGCCGGUGGAUACUGUCGGGCUAGAGUACGGAAGAGGCGAGUGGAAUUCCUGGUGUAGCGGUGGAAUGCGCAGAUAUCAGGAGGAACACCAAUAGCGAAGGCAGCUCGCUGGGACGUUACUGACACUGAGGCGCGAAAGCGUGGGGAGCGAACAGG